CAAAUGACAUGGAAAUGACACAAACACGUGGACACGCGGAUCGGUUUCAUUUCAGCAGCUGGGUGAAAAGUCAAGCCAGGACUGACUGUGGUCAUUCUACAGGCAUUCUUGGGCAUUAUAUCAUCUGGAUGAUGAUGCUUGACUUGAGGCAUGUCAGUAAGCUGAGCGGCUCUGCUAAAGGCGCAGUCAGCAAUUUCAGGAACAAGUGUGAGAGUUAAUGAGUUUGCCCAAGGACACUUCGGUAGAGUGUAGCAGGCACUUAUUUUUGCACCUUUAAAAUAUGUUUGCUAAUGGUGGUGGUGGUGUGGUGAAUGGGGGGCAUCAGCAAAGUAAUUAAAGGGCAACCGGCACAGUGAUGGUAAAACUGAUGACUCACAGGACCUCUGUUUGACUGCAUGAGAGAGUAGGAUUAGGUGCCCUCUGUCAGAGGCCAGACGAGAAUCCUGAGCUUGGAGCCAGUGAGUCACGAACCCUUUCACAGCAAACAGUGGUGGUGGGGGGGGGGGAGAUCACGUGCGCCUGGGAGACGCCCACUCAAAAAGCACAAACGGCCUGGUCUCCUCAUCUCCCUCAGUUGACAAUGCGGACAGACAGGAUUUGAAACAACACAUUUCCCCCCCUUCUCUCUCCAGAGUAAACAGGUCACAUGCGAAAAGGCUCCGCGAGAUGUUUACAGAGCCGAGGACGCUGCCCAGACAGUUUUAACAACCGGGUGCAAAUCUGUCUGAGAUAUAAUGCAGAAGGACUUCUUGGACUGUCAUCUUUGCUUUCUAUAAUGAGCUUGUACCAUGGUAAUUAGAUUGAAAAGGCAAUUUGUGGUCAAGUGAUCAUAGAGUAGCAUAUGUGGCUACUUUUGCUUUAUGUGCUGCCGUCACAAUGAAGAGCAGGCAGGAUGAGGGCACCAGCAAACACUAGCUUUGCUCUCUACGGAUGAGCCUGUAAUCACAUCCUGCUGUGAAGAAUGCAUUCUAAAACCAGUCAAGGUGACACACCUACUGGCACGGUUAGACAUUCAUUUUGAAUUUUAAUUGUCCUGUAAAUCACAGUGGUCUCUCACACAUCCCACAAACAGCCUGCUGCUGUUCUGCUCCCCAGGCUCUGAUCCCCCGGUGACCCCAGACUUUGUGACGACCGAGAGCUUUCCAGCAAACUCUCAUUUCCCUUAUUUGUCUUAGAGGCUGUCACUGUGAAAUAUGUAUCACAUUCACCUCAAAGCACAGGAAACAGACAUGUCUACAUACAUUUGAUGUUCAAAGAGCUUUUAUUGGGCUCAUACAUCCAGCAUUCUGAACCACGCACGCAUGGCAUCAUACAUUUAGAAACCUUAGCCACAGAUUGUCGUGAAUGUUUCAGUAAAUCUUUUGUGUGAUCGCCAGGAAUGUUUAAGUGUUUAACAACAAUCCAAUUCUACGGAGCCGUUCUCCAAUUUUCACAAGCUGUCAUUCGCAUAAAGAACAACAGCAGCAAUUUGCAGUCUGUUCACAAAAGGGAACUCUUUUUAUCUGUGCGUUUUCCUGUCAGGAUCCAAGAUGAGUCACACGACACAAACUGGCACUGCGAUUUUCAAUUUGUCAGAGAGGCAGGCUGAAAACAUAUCCCACAGAGACUGGAUUUCUCCCGCUCUCAUUCAUAAAAAAUAAAAGACCAAUCAGAGACUCACACCCACUUUAUUAUAGGGCAUACGCUGAACAUCUGUCCCUGUCUAACCCUGUCUUCUCAAAAACAUAAAAAAUAAAGACCCAGCACGUGUGCGUGGGGAGCAUCAACCGCACCUCACCCUAUGGACUAAAGGCAGCUCUGAACUCAAGUACAUGUGUGCACGAUUUACGGUAUUGUAAAAUCUGUUUCUUAUUUUCAGGCAGCGUCACAUGUCUAACGCAAUGACUUGCCAUCAAAAGCACUAGCCAGUAACCUAAACUGACCCGUGUUACACUUGCAUAAAGUGAGGGAAUGUGAGAGACAGUGGCCUUACCUGUAAAUAUGCUGCAAGUGGAGGCAGGCAUGCAUGUGAGAGUGUUUGGGUGCCAUUUGCACGGGAGCGUAUUUGCAUUUGUGUCUGUUAUAUCAACAUCUGUCGCGUGAACUGUGUAUAUGACUCAGCUGGGUGUACCCUGGCUUUGCUCCAUAUGCUUUCCCGAACUCAAAACCUGGCCUAUGGUGACACACACAUGCACGGUUUUAUUUAAAUUGGGACGGCAAACAGACUUCCCACACCAUUGUCCACAUUAUGUCUGCUCGCCACUAAUAGCAGGAGUGCGACCCAGGCACAGGUUUUGGUUUGGAGCUCAGAUGGAAGAGAAAACCGACAGGAAUGUCCAUAACUGUGUUAACGACAACUAAAGCUGCUGCAGGGAACACAAAUGUAAACACAAAGGCACACCAGACAUUAAAGACGUCCUCUGGCUGGACAUAAUUGACAUCGGUACAAAAUAUUGGGUCCUUGCAGUGAUUCAUAGACUUGUAAUAACAGGAUUACAUAACUUUUUUUCCUGUAAUGUUUGCAAAGCCUUGGACUACCUCCCUCAAGUCUCAGCCACCAAUUGAGCAUGUCAGCUUUGAGGAAUAAAACCUAAUUUUCCCAUCAAUCUAGCUGAAGCUGAACUUUGUGACUUGGAUCCCGUUCUCUGCUUAUGUGUUUUACAAUGAUCUUCACAGAUGUUCCACGUGACAAUAACAGAAUGCCAUGUCUGGAACCUGUUUAGCUUUUUAAUCUUGGUUAGAAAA